UUUACAAGCAGAUACUCUUAGUUUGCUGUUAGCUAUAUAAAGUUUUGAAGCUGCUUUUUGUGUAUUACUGCACACACUGACUGCCAGUCACCUGUUGAACCAACUGUUAAUAGGAAACAUUUGUCUCCUGAACUGAAUAUACAACAGCUAUUUUCUCUCAUCUCUGCAAUCUUCCCAGCUCCAAUUUAAAAACAUGGGGAACGAGAACUCAAACACCCAUGUGGCCAACGCAACUGGGAAGCAUCUUCGGAUUUUCUAUAAAGUGGAUAAAAUGAAGCUGGAAGAAAUGGUGGUAAAUGAGAAAGUAGGGUUAGAAGGUACAGCAUCAAAAACUGGACCAUCACUGUCAGGGAACAUUUCCAGCAAUGUGAAGAUGGUUUUUAGACAAGACACUGAGCUCCAUUACUUUCACCUGCCGGAGAAAGAGACAUGUAACGUUUCCGGGGAGGGCGCCAUCCAUGCCUCUGUCCUUUUGGAAGAUGAAGAGGAUGAAAACAUCUGCAGUGGUGUCAUCUGCCUAAAUUUCCCUGUCCCAAGAGACCGUUCUUUUAUCGUGACUGCCAAUCACACCAUCAAAUUGCAGAAGUAUGGUGCAGGCCUUUGGAUAGAUGAAGACGGCAUUAACCAUCGACCUUAACCUUCCUCUUCAUCCAUCAUGAGGCUACCUUGGAAAUGUGCUGAGGGUUUAGAUAACAAAAUCUUUAUGUUUUCAACAACAAUGUUAAAAGAAAUUUCAGUAAACUUAAAGCUACCACAUUUAUGAUGCUAUAUUUCUGGGAUGCAUCAUUAUUAAGAAAUAAACUAAUUUUUGCAAGGAUUUA